rnacentral:lncRNA from 1 species
AGGCAGUCCCACCCUGAGAAGGGACCAAGCACAGAGGCGGCCACUGCAGCCAACUGCACAGCUGGACCCGGGUAGGGCUCCUCCCUCGGGACCUCCAGAUGGCUCCUCACCCUUGAGGUCCCUUCUUUUUGGUCAGAGCUACUCUAGUCGCACCCACUCAGUCGUGAACUGGAGCAGCAGCCAGAGAGAGAGUAAGACAAUGGUGAAUGAGAAGAGGCCAGGUGACAGGAACCUGCAAGCUCAUCCAUCCACAAACAUCCACUGAGCACCUGCCACGGGCUGGGCCCCGUGCAUUCAACAACAAUCUUCAAUGUGUCUUCAUUUGUUUGCAACCGCUGAACACAGCUAUCUGAUAUCACUGUGGCCUGGGACUCUCAGCUUCCAGCAAGUGGGAGCCCCACCUGGCUCAUCCACUUCAAAAGAGGAUUGCAUGCUAAUGAAUUAAUACAUACAAGAAAGUGUUGCAAACUCUACAAUCCUAUAUAAAUCUUAAGAAGAUUAGAAGUUUACCAAAUGCUCUGUAAUGCAUUUUGAAGGGCUAUCCCUUAAAAGAAACUGGAAAUCAGCAAGACAAGCUUUUCCUUCUUUUAGUGUCUUUAUUUAGCCUGUACGUACUACUUGCACACAUUAGUUUCACAGUUAAUUUUACCGCCUUAAAAACAGGACUCAGAUCAAAACCUAAACAUGAGAACUCAGCCACUGACAGUGAUUUUCCUGGUGGCUCCCGGAAGUCAUUGCUCUCAGAGCUUCCAUUUCCCCCUCCCAUUAAGCAAAGGAAAUAGGAGGGGAAGACAGCAAUUCCACAAGGUCUUUGUGCACUUUGAAACUUUCGUAGCUUCAGUUGUUGGUGUGACAAAAGCAAUCUGUGGGCAGAAUCCAGAAGCAAGUAUAUGAACAUUUGGGGAAGGGUGUUGCUUAGUGGGUCACGUUGUCUCCUGCCAAAUUCUGUGACAACCCUAAAGUGCGAGAAGGGUUCCGAGGGGAGCCGAAUGCUGCAGUCAAGCUUCAUAUCCGCCAAGACAAAGGGAUUUAAUCUGCUUGGGGACGCUUCUGCUUGCUGAUUUUAUAUACUAACUAAGUCAUCUGAGUCUAAAGGAUAAAAGUUGAAAGCUGCCUAAGAACUUUAUCCAGGGCCUCUACUUUCCCAGACCAAGUUGAUACUGGAAAGAGAGUCUGGUGUUUCAACCAGAGUUCAGGACCCACGAAUGUGCAGCUUCUAUACUAUAGUGAACAUUUCAACGACUCCCACAGCCAGGGUUCCCAUGUCUUCAGGUCCUGCUGAGAAACAACUAACAAUCCUGCCAGCACCACCCUCAACACACAGAAAAAAAGAGGCAAAGAAAACCUCUUGCCGGGCGUGGUGGCUCACGCCUGUAAUCCCAGCACUUUGGGAGGCUGAGGCAGGCGGAUCACAAGGUCAGGAGAUCGAGACCAUCCUGGCUAACACGGUGAAACCCCUCUCUACUAAAAAUACAAAGAAUUAGCCGGGUGUGGUGGCGCACGCCUGUAGUCCCAGCUACUCGGGAGGCUGAGGCAGGAGAAUGGCGGGAACCCGGGAGGCAGAGCUUGCAGUGAGCCAAGAUCGUGCCACUGCACUCCAGCCUGGGUGACAGAGCGAGACUCCACCUCAA